UUUAAGUACAACUAUAAGUUUCCGUGCUUAAUUUUAAUCGUCUGUCUUAUUUGAAUUUUUUUAUAAUAAGUAUUUUUAUUGUUAUAAGAUGAUAAAACAUGAAUAGUUUUUUAUACGUGAUUUAUGUUUUUAAUUUUUUUUUCAAAAAAUUUUCAAAUAAGACGGACGAUUGAAGUUGGGCAUAGAAAAUUAUAGCUGCACUUAAA
rfam:Oryza sativa Japonica Group DNA, chromosome 7, cultivar: Nipponbare, complete sequence.